GUCCCAGACUCCUACGGGAGGCAGCAGUGGGGAAUAUUGCACAAUGGGGGAAACCCUGAUGCAGCGACGCCGCGUGAGUGAAGAAGUAUUUCGGUAUGUAAAGCUCUAUCAGCAGGGAAGAAAAUGACGGUACCUGACUAAGAAGCCCCGGCUAACUACGUGCCAGCAGCCGCGGUAAUACGUAGGUGGCAAGCGUUGUCCGGAAUUACUGGGUGUAAAGGGAGCGCAGGCGGGAAGCCAAGUCAGCUGUGAAAACUACGGGCUUAACUUGUAGACUGCAGUUGAAACUGGUUUUCUUGAGUGAAGUAGAGGUUGGCGGAAUUCCGAGUGUAGCGGUGAAAUGCGUAGAUAUCGCGCAGAACUCCGAUUGCGAAGGCAGCAUGCCGGCUCCACACUGACGCUGAGGCACGAAAGCGUGGGUAUCGAACAGGAUUAGAUACCCCUGUA
rnacentral:rRNA from 1 species